AGACGAUUCAGCCAGCUGUAGAGCAGCCUCUGGGAAGGCGACAGCCUGAGCUUCACCACGUGAAGGUUUACGUGAAUCCAGUGACUUAGCUCGGCUUCGAACGUGUCAUCACUGGUUGCUGGCAAGCCAUUCUUUUCACUGGCGAAGAACUGCAGUAUGGAGCACACGAUGUACUGUACUAUGCAGGCAGAGACCCUUGACCCCACUCUCAUAAUUGUGUGCUGGCCCGACGAGAGUAGACUACUGGCGUAUCCACAGGAGUACUGUAAUGUUACGCUGUGUUUGCUAACCACGGUUUCUGGGGAAGAGCAUGCAGGCGUUCUAGGCGUUCCUUCCACGACUCUUCCUGCUUCUCCUCCACAUAAUUAUCACUCGACUGCCCGAGAUGCUGCAUCACAUCGCUAAUUUGCUCAUGGCAUGGACAUCUUCGGAAGUUUGGCUGGACAGAAGGGCGCCCAACUACUUAGACAGCUCACUUGGGUUUGGGUGGUUUUCCGCGCGACAAGAAACUAACUUUAAUGCUAUUGAUAGUUACGCCACUGGAAACAGACCGGGUACGCAAACAACUGAUGACCACCAUCCAUCACCUAUCGAGCGCCAUCACAUUUUUUAGUUCGACACUAAUUUCUCGUGUGGUCGUUUUGGAGAAAGGAGACCUGGCUUAUAGGACAGUCUCGUUUCGGCGUGACUCCAGUAUUCCCCAACCUGGUUUUGCAUGUGACGACUUGUGACUACUACAACUAUCUUGUCGUACUUUAGACCCGGUAUACUCCGGUAACUUCUAUAGGGACUGUUUCGAUUGGUUUAAUUAAAUAGAGGCUCUAGGGCAAGCUAGGGAAGAGAGAAGCGACUGGUGGGGCGGGAGCACCCAGCCGGUCUAGAUAUAUACUAGAGUAUAUUAUUAUGUCGGAAUUUCACGCGUACACAGUACGUCGCAUCGGUACGAUGCUAGGUACAAAGAUGGGAGUGCGAGAUGGGAAUGAGAAAUGGAAAUCCUAGAGUGGCUGUAAUCGAAUCAAAGUCGCGGGCGGGGUCUUACGUGCACCACAGUAGCUGUUUGUAAUCCUACCUCUGCAUGCCAUGCUUGUCGCAUUGCUUGCUAUCUGGGUGUGCUUGUCGGCAAGCCUGAUGGUUACUGCUGAGGGUGAGUAUCUAAACACAAAACAUUCUGUCCAUCAUCCGUCUACUGUAGACUAGAGCAUCAUGUGUAUACGUGCGUAUAUCUUGUAGUUUGUAUUUCUAUACAGAUGUUCGAAUGGUAGUAGUCACAGUAGCCACAGAGUCUAGUGAUGGGUUUAUCAAGUGUGUAACAUCAGCAGAACACUUCGGUCUGAAUAUGACGGUUUUACGAAUGGAUAGGAAAUUACAAGGGGCAAGACAGCAACUGAAGUGUUUGGCUGAAGGCCUAGUUCAGUACAAGGAUGACAACAGCUUGGUGAUAUUGUUUGCAGAAAGCAUGAACACUGUGUUUCUUGCUGGAGAAGACAUCAUUUUGUCCAAAUUCAGACAUUUUAACUCCAGCUUGGUCUUUUCAGCAGAGGCUGUUUGCUUACCAGACUACUUCGCAGAAAAUCAUCCAGGUGUUUCUGAUGGACACAGAUAUCUGCACUCGGGAGUGUAUAUCGGGUAUGCACCUGUUGUAUACGAGGCAGUGUCCAAUUGGCAAACUGUUGGUUACGGAGAUACACAAGUUUACUUUCAGCGUCUCUAUUUUAAUGAAACUUUCAAGGCCAAGCACAACAUGACACUGGAUCAUCGAUCCUACAUGUUUCAGAACUUGAAAGAUGUGGAAGAUGAAGUUCAAUUGGUUUACGAUGAAAAACAGUCAUGGAUCAAGAACAAAGUGUACAACACAGUGCCUGUAUUGGUUCAUGGUCAAGGAAUUGGAAAUAGGAAAUUGUUGACUUUGGGAAACUAUGUCCCUAAUGAAUGGACUUGGGACUCUGGGUGUAUACAUUGUGAUGAUAACAUGAUCAGUUUGGAAGGCAAAACAGAAUUCCAGUUUCCUGAAGUAUUGAUGGUUGUCUUUAAUCUGUCACCGACGGCUUUUUUCAGACUGUUUUUGGAGAGACUGACUGAUCUUGACUACCCAAAGAGUAGAAUUACUGUGAGACUUUAUGCAAUGGCUAAACCAAAUGUUGCUGAUGCUUUGGUGUGGUUUAAUGAAAUUAAAAGCAUUGGAUACAGGGAUAUCACAAUCGUUACCACCAACAUGAAUGAGCGAGAUGCUCGCAAUGAUGGGCUCCACUAUUGUACAGUCACUGAUUGCAGCUACUACUUUGCUAUCGAUUCUAUAGUAAUGCUAGAAAAUAGAAAUACUCUUCGGCUGCUGAUAGAGCAAAACAAGACUUUAUUGUCACCAAUGGUUACUGAGGGUAAAAACAAACUGUGGUCAAACUUUUGGGGAGCAUUGACGUAUAGCGCUUACUAUCAACGAUCAGAAGACUAUAUUGACAUUGUACGAAGACGUCGGGUUGGUGUUUGGAGUGUUCCACACCUGAGCUGUGUCUACCUAAUCAAAGGCAGUUUGAUAAAGGAAGUCGGUAUGACCUUUACAGGACCGACAUGGCAACCAAUGAUGGACUCUGAUAUGGCAUUUACUAGAAUGUUGAGAAAUAAGUUUGUUUACAUGUAUGUGACUAAUCGGCAUUAUUUUGGUCAUCUGCUGAAAUAUUCAUCACAUACUAACAGACGCCACAACGACAUGUACGAGAUAGUGAACAACCCAAUAGAUUGGAAGGAGCAAUACAUUCAUCCUAACUAUGCACGCAAUCUAAACAACUCAACUUCGUAUCAAAUGGUAUGCCCAGAUGUUUAUCUUUUUCCAUUGAUUUCAGAAAAAUUUGCCAAAGAAUUGAUUGAAGAGGCAGAGGCUGUCAGUGAGUGGUUAGACGGAAAAGAAUAUUUUGAGGGAACAAGUUGGAUACAGUUUGACUGGAUUUGGAGCAGUCGAGACAAACACUCAUGCACAGAGUCGGUCUGGGAAUUUAAAGGAAACAUGCCGAACGUCACUAUCCAGAUCCUAGCGCAUCUGUUCCUCAGCAGCUUCAUGCUGGAACUCUUGAUCUGAAAACGAUUGAAUAUGAGCAUCAGUGGCAGCAGUUUGUCAAAUCUUACGUGUUGCCCAUUCAAUACUUGCUGUUUUCAUCAUUCAAACACACUGGAAAUUCAACUCACGGAUUCAUCUUGAGACAAAAUGGACAAUCUCUUAGUUU